GACGAACGCUGGCGGCGUGCUUAACACAUGCAAGUCGAACGGAAAGGCCCUGCUUUUGUGGGGUGCUCGAGUGGCGAACGGGUGAGUAACACGUGAGUAACCUGCCCUUGACUUUGGGAUAACUUCAGGAAACUGGGGCUAAUACCGGAUAGGAGCUCCUGCUGCAUGGUGGGGGUUGGAAAGUUUCGGCGGUUGGGGAUGGACUCGCGGCUUAUCAGCUUGUUGGUGGGGUAGUGGCUUACCAAGGCUUUGACGGGUAGCCGGCCUGAGAGGGUGACCGGCCACAUUGGGACUGAGAUACGGCCCAGACUCCUACGGGAGGCAGCAGUGGGGAAUAUUGCACAAUGGGCGGAAGCCUGAUGCAGCAACGCCGCGUGCGGGAUGACGGCCUUCAGGUUGUAAACCGCUUUCGCCUGUGACGAAGCGUGAGUGACGGUAAUGGGUAAAGAAGCACCGGCUAACUACGUGCCAGCAGCCGCGGUGAUACGUAGGGUGCGAGCGUUGUCCGGAUUUAUUGGGCGUAAAGGGCUCGUAGGUGGUUGAUCGCGUCGGAAGUGUAAUCUUGGGGCUUAACCCUGAGCGUGCUUUCGAUACGGGUUGACUUGAGGAAGGUAGGGGAGAAUGGAAUUCCUGGUGGAGCGGUGGAAUGCGCAGAUAUCAGGAGGAACACCAGUGGCGAAGGCGGUUCUCUGGGCCUUUCCUGACGCUGAGGAGCGAAAGCGUGGGGAGCGAACAGGCUUAGAUACCCUGGUAGUCCACGCUGUAAACGGUGGGUACUAGGUGUGGGGUCCAUUCCACGGGUUCCGUGCCGUAGCUAACGCUUUAAGUACCCCGCCUGGGGAGUACGGCCGCAAGGCUAAAACUCAAAGGAAUUGACGGGGCCCCGCACAAGCGGCGGAGCAUGCGGAUUAAUUCGAUGCAACGCGUAGAACCUUACCUGGGUUUGACAUGGAUCGGGAGUGCUCAGAGAUGGGUGUGCCUCUUUUGGGGUCGGUUCACAGGUGGUGCAUGCCUGUCGUCAGCUCGUGUCGUGAGAUGUUGGGUUAAGUCCCGCAACGAGCGCAACCCUUGUUCACUGUUGCCAGCACGUUAUGGUGGGGACUCAGUGGAGACCGCCGGGGUCAACUCGGAGGAAGGUGGGGAUGACGUCAAGUCCUCAUGCCCCUUAUGUCCAGGGCUUCACGCAUGCUACAAUGGCUGGUACAGAGAGUGGCGAGCCUGUGAGGGUGAGCGAAUCUCGGAAAGCCGGUCUCAGUUCGGAUUGGGGUUUGCAACUCGACCUCAUGAAGUCGGAGUCGCUAGUAAUCGCAGAUCAGCAACGCUGCGGUGAAUACGUUCCCGGG
rnacentral:rRNA from 1 species